rnacentral:rRNA from 1 species
CCUACGGGGGCAGCAGUGGGGAAUAUUGCACAAUGGGGGAAACCCUUAUGCAGCGACGCCGCGUUAAGGAAGAAGUAUUUCGGUAUGUAUACUUCUAUCAGCAGGGAAGAAAAUGACGGUACCUGACUAAGAAGCCCCGGCUAACUACGUGCCAGCAGCCGCGGUAAUACGUAGGGGGCAAGCGUUAUCCGGAUUUACUGGGUGAAAAGGGGGCGUAGGCGGUUCAGAAAGUCAGAAGUGAAAGCCCGGGGGUCAACUCCGGGACUGCUUUUGAAACUGUUGAACUAGAUUGCAGGAGAGGUAAGUGGAAUUCCUGGUGUAGCGGUGAAAUGCGUGGAUAUUAGGAGGAACACCAGUGGCGAAGGCGGCUUACUGGACUGUAAAUGACGCUGAGGCUCGAAAGCGUGGGAGCAAACAGGAUUAGAUACCCGUGUAGUC